rnacentral:rRNA from 1 species
UAGAGUUUGAUCAUGGCUCNCCGACGAAUGCUGGCGGCGUGCCUAAUACAUGCAAGUCGAGCGAAUCAAUAGGAGCUUGCUCCUGUUGGUUAGCGGCGGACGGGUGAGUAACACGUGGGCAACCUGCCUGUAAGACUGGGAUAACUUCGGGAAACCGGAGCUAAUACCGGAUAAUCCUUUUCCUCACAUGGGGAAAAGCUGAAAGUCGGUUUCGGCUGACACUUACAGAUGGGCCCGCGGCGCAUUAGCUAGUUGGUGAGGUAACGGCUCACCAAGGCGACGAUGCGUAGCCGACCUGAGAGGGUGAUCGGCCACACUGGGACUGAGACACGGCCCAGACUCCUACGGGAGGCAGCAGUAGGGAAUCUUCCACAAUGGACGAAAGUCUGAUGGAGCAACGCCGCGUGAGCGAUGAAGGCCUUCGGGUCGUAAAGCUCUGUUGUUAGGGAAGAACAAGUACCGGAGUAAACUGCCGGUACCUUGACGGUACCUAACCAGAAAGCCACGGCUAACUACGUGCCAGCAGCCGCGGUAAUACGUAAGUGGCAAGCGUUGUCCGGAAUUAUUGGGCGUNAAGCGCGC